GGGGACAUAGGGUGACUGCAUAUGCUCUUUCGCUUUCACUUUGCUUCUUGGUGUACAGAAUGCUGCCACUCCGGCUGGCUACGCCACGCCGGCUGGCUACGUCGCUCUACUUGGCAUUGCUUGUAUCCUGAAGCCAAGACCUCUACCCAACUGUUGCCUGUGAUUCAGGCUGAACUUCAAGUCACCCUCUCAACAUGAUUGAACAAGGAUAUAGUAACAGCUUUGCUGGUUUUGUAUUGCUGCCAUCCGUGGGCCAUCUUUUUCUAAAACAGAAGAAUUGCACAUUCAGAUGAGAGAUGUUCCCUCUGUGUAUGGAAUAGUUAAAAAGCAAUCAUAUAAUGAAAUGCAUUGUGGGCAUAAUGUGCCUGUGUUUUCUUAUGAUGGUGUAUUUUCCUGUGAUGUCCCUGUGUUGAU